ensembl:lncRNA
AUGAAAGAUCUGAUUAUGAAAUCUUUGAUUGACACGUUUCAUCAGGAUGCGACUAAAGGAUCUCCGACGUGGAGCAAAGGUCGAGAGGACGGAGAGGAGGAGGAACAGGAGGGAGAGGACACGGAUACAUCGGCUGAGCAGAGUGUAGACGAGCCGACGGAGGAGACUCCGAGUGCUGAGCCUGAAGAGCUGGAAGGAGACUCCCAAACUGAGGGCGAGCAGAAAGCAGCAGAAGUCAGCGAGCCGCCCGCCACCACACGGGACGAGGAGACGGACGCCGGCCCCAAACCGGCCAAUGGGACGGGGGACAUCAACUCCAAGAGCCAACGGGGCUCCAGCAAAAAGGUACCCACCGACGCCUCCACAGCCGGCGGGCCACACAGCGCGGCGUCUUACACCCUCUGUCCUCCUUUCAGCUCUCUCUCUUCAGACGGCCCCCCAAACCCCAGGACCAGACCCCCGUCCAGCAGAGAGCGCUGCCCUCUGGAGCCAGGGGCCCUCGCUCCGGAGCCUGCAGCCUGCUGUGAACCCUGCAGAUAA